rnacentral:rRNA from 1 species
AGAAUGAACGCUGGCGGCAUGCCUAACACAUGCAAGUCGAACGAAGCCUUCGGGUUUAGUGGCGCACGGGUGCGUAACGCGUGGGAAUCUACCCCUUGGUUCGGAAUAACAGUUGGAAACGACUGCUAAUACCGGAUGAUGACGUAAGUCCAAAGAUUUAUCGCCGAGGGAUGAGCCCGCGUAGGAUUAGGUAGUUGGUGUGGUAAAGGCGCACCAAGCCGACGAUCCUUAGCUGGUCUGAGAGGAUGAUCAGCCACACUGGGACUGAGACACGGCCCAGACUCCUACGGGAGGCAGCAGUGGGGAAUAUUGGACAAUGGGCGCAAGCCUGAUCCAGCAAUGCCGCGUGUGUGAAGAAGGCCUUCGGGUUGUAAAGCACUUUUAUCAGGAACGAAAUACCAUUGGUUAAUAACCGGUGGGCUGACGGUACCUGAGGAUAAGCACCGGCUAACUCGUGCCAGCAGCCGC